rnacentral:rRNA from 1 species
UACAGGGGGUGCAAACGUUGCUCGGAAUCAUUGGGCGUAAAGCGCACGUAGGCGGUUCGUUAUGUCGGAUGUGAAAGCCCUUGGCUUAACCGAGGAAGUGCAUCCGAAACUGGCGAGCUAGAGUACUAAAGAGGAUCGCGGAAUUCCCGGUGUAGAGGUGAAAUUCGUAGAUAUCGGGAGGAACACCGGUGGCGAAGGCGGCUCUCUGGGACGGUACUGGACGCUGAGACGCGAAAGCGUGGGGAGCGAACAGG